rnacentral:lncRNA from 1 species
AGGGUUCUCGGCACAGAGCAUACCUGUUACAUAAUAAUAUUGUCUGAAAGAUCUGUCAACAGUCACCACAGCAAUUUUUUAGACUGCAUACCAGAGAGGCCACCUGUAUUCGGUUACUAAAUCCAAGACUUGCAUUUAUAAUUAUCAACACAAAUCUAGUGCUAUCUGAUUCUUAUUCAUCUACCUGCAUUCAAAAACAUUGACACAUACAAACUUGUUACGCUUUCCUCCAUAGAUUACAAUACAAGCAUCCUCAUAUGACAUAGAUGGUCAGCUUAAUGCCAUAUAUACCAGAUAAUUCUAUGUACUUUGCUUCAGUUGAUUCGUUUCUUCCUUAGAGAAUUCCUUUGAAACCUUUAUCAAUAGGCUAAUCCAACACAAGCAUGCACUCCAAUUUGCAUUGGCAAAAUCACUUCAUAUUGUAGUUGCAAAAUUGUUUUUAGGGACUAGGGUCAUAAAAGCACAAUAGCUAGUAUUUAUGCCUUAAUGCCUUAUAUUAUGAACAAAAUUUUAUAUUAAAAUUGCAUUUAAGGCAACAACUAGCUUUCACAUUAAGGCAUCAUCCAUCUUGUUUUGGGUUAUCAAGAAAAUCUCUUACAAAAAACAUGGAAAAAGUAUAACCAUCUUGUUAUUGAAUUUGGAGUUAGUGGGCUCAUGUAUACCAUACCACCCUUUAUAGAUAAUGAAGAAAAAAAAUUAUGUCAAUGACAGUACCACAAUUAGGGUCAUAAAAGACAGUAGAGACCAUGCACCAUGUCAAUGACAGUACCACAAUUAGGGUCAUAAAAGACAGUAGAGACCAUGCACCGUCCAACUUCUUUAAAGGCACCAUCCAACUUUUCCUUUAUGAAUAAAGAGUUUGUAAUGCAUUUUACUCCAAGGUCAUUGAGGCAUCCAUCCCAUACAAAGCUUAUGAAACAUUAGAAACUAGGGUCAUUAAGUUCAUAAUACAAACCACUUAUAAAUUAUAAUUGCAGCUGUAAAAUUGAAAUUAGGGACUAAGGGUCAACAAAUCAAAAUAGAUAUCCACUCAUGCAUUAUGAAUCAAAGUUCAUAAUUUAUUUUUGAGAAAAAAGAGGACAUAGAGAUAAUAGCUUGAGU